UACGUAGGGUGCAAGCGUUGUCCGGAAUUAUUGGGCGUAAAGAGCUCGUAGGCGGUCUGUCACGUCGGCUGUGAAAACCCGAGGCUCAACCUCGGGCCUGCAGUCGAUACGGGCAAACUAGAGUACUGCAGGGAAGACUGGAAUUCCUGGUGUAGCGGUGAAAUGCGCAGAUAUCAGGAGGAACACCGGUGGCGAAGGCGGGUCUCUGGGCAGUAACUGACGCUGAGGAGCGAAAGCGUGGGGAGCGAACAGG
rnacentral:rRNA from 1 species